AUUGAACGCUGGCGGCAGGCCUAACACAUGCAAGUCGAGCGGAUGAAGGGAGCUUGCUCCUGGAUUCAGCGGCGGACGGGUGAGUAAUGCCUAGGAAUCUGCCUGGUAGUGGGGGAUAACGUCCGGAAACGGGCGCUAAUACCGCAUACGUCCUGAGGGAGAAAGUGGGGGUUCUACGGACCUCACGCUAUCAGAUGAGCCUAGGUCGGAUUAGCUAGUUGGUGGGGUAAAGGCCUACCAAGGCGACGAUCCGUAACUGGUCUGAGAGGAUGAUCAGUCACACUGGAACUGAGACACGGUCCAGACUCCUACGGGAGGCAGCAGUGGGGAAUAUUGGACAAUGGGCGAAAGCCUGAUCCAGCCAUGCCGCGUGUGUGAAGAAGGUCUUCGGAUUGUAAAGCACUUUAAGUUGGGAGGAAGGGCAGUAAGUUAAUACCUUGCUGUUUUGACGUUACCAACAGAAUAAGCACCGGCUAACUUCGUG
rnacentral:rRNA from 1 species